rnacentral:rRNA from 1 species
GAUGAACGCUGGCGGCGUGCCUAAUACAUGCAAGUCGAACGCUUAACUUCGGUGAAGAGUGGCGAACGGGUGGGUAAUCCCUAAGUAACCUGGCAUCUACCGGGGGAUAACUGAUGGAAACGUCAGCUAAGACCGCAUAGGUGUAGAGAUCGCAUGAACUCUAUAUGAAAAGUGCUACGGGACUGGUAGAUGAUGGACUUAUGGCGCAUUAGCUUGUUGGUAGGGUAACGGCCUACCAAGGCGACGAUUCGUAGCCGAACUGGGAGGGUGACCGGCCACACUGGAACUUGGACACGGCCCAGACGCCUACGGGAGGCAGCAGUAGGGAAUUUUCGGCAAUGGGGGAAACCCUUACCGAGCAACGCCGCGUGAAGGAAGAAGUAAUUCGGUAUGUAAACUUCUGUCAUAGAGGAAGAACGGUUGAUAUAUGGAAUGAUAUCCAAGUGACGGUACUCUAUAAGAAAGCCACGGCUAACUACGUG